rnacentral:lncRNA from 1 species
AUACAUUCCAGCAGGCUUGUGGAGACUGUGCUGCAGCCCACAAACCUACCAGAAGACAGGUUUGCUGCAUCUGCUUUGGCAUGAAGUAACUGGACUCUAUUAAGUGGCUUCCCAAGUCUCCUAAACUGUACAGUGGUCAUAACUGGAGCUCUCAGGGCUCUCGCUGGGCCUCGUUGAAAGGAAAGGAAAGUUUUCAUGGUGGUAACCUGUACAAAUUCAGCUCUGCUAAUGGAAAAUGGAGGGAAGGAAGGAGCAGUCCUGAGCAAGAAGCAGAGGAACUCGAGGAUCCUGAUGAUGAACCUAUUUCCAAGUUUUCCGGCAGUCUUUUUGAUAGCAAUGGUGGCAUGAGAGAUCAAAGAAAUACCAGAACAACUCUUCAAGAAAAGCACAAGUUGGCAAUGAAAGGGAAGAAUCCUCCAGGGACUAACACUAAGGUGCAGCCAGCUGUCUCCUCAGCAGGCAGCUUCCCCAGUGAGAGCAGCCGGAUCCCAGAGGAACUGAGGGUGAUGGAUGUACCACAGACCCCACUGAAGGUAUUGAACUGCUGCAUGGGCUGGGCUUGC